rnacentral:rRNA from 1 species
GGAGUUUGGGCCGUGUCUCAGUCCCAAUGUGGCCGGUCACCCUCUCAGGUCGGCUACUGAUCGUCGCCUUGGUAGGCCAUUACCCUGCCAACUAGCUAAUCAGACGCGGGCCCAUCCUAUACCGUCGGAGCUUUUCACACCGUAUCAUGCGAUACUGUGCGCUUAUGCGGUAUUAGCAGUCGUUUCCAACUGUUAUCCCCCUGUAUAGGGCAGGUUACCCACGCGUUACUCACCCGUCCGCCACUCAGUCAUAAAAGCUUCCAUCCGAAAACUUCCGCUUAAAUGCUUCGUUCGACUUGCAUGUGUUAAGCACGCCGCCAGCGUUCAUC